rnacentral:rRNA from 1 species
AUUGAACGCUGGCGGCAUGCCUUACACAUGCAAGUCGAACGGUAACGCGGGGCAACCUGGCGACGAGUGGCGAACGGGUGAGUAAUGCAUCGGAACGUGCCCAGAAGUGGGGGAUGGCCCGGCGAAAGCCGGAUUAAUACCGCAUGAGACCUGAGGGUGAAAGCGGGGGAUCGCAAGACCUCGCGCUUUUGGAGCGGCCGAUGUCAGAUUAGCUAGUUGGUGGGGUAAAGGCCUACCAAGGCGACGAUCUGUAGCUGGUCUGAGAGGACGACCAGCCACACUGGGACUGAGACACGGCCCAGACUCCUACGGGAGGCAGCAGUGGGGAAUUUUGGACAAUGGGCGCAAGCCUGAUCCAGCCAUGCCGCGUGCGGGAAGAAGGCCUUCGGGUUGUAAACCGCUUUUGUCUGGGAAGAAACGCUCUGGGCUAAUACCCUGGGGUAAUGACGGUACCUGAAGAAUAAGCACCGGCUAACUACGUGCCAGCAGCCGCGGUAA